rnacentral:lncRNA from 1 species
UAAUUAGUACAAAGUGAGCACGACAUAACAUAUACUGCCAGACAUACAUUAUCUGUAUGUAUUAUCUCACUUAUCUUUCAGUAGCCAUCCAAUAAGAGUAUUACUAUGACCCCAUUUAAAAAGAAUAAAUUAAAUCUCAGAGAAACUUAGAAAAUUCAGCCCUUAGUCCACAGCUGCAGGAACAGUUAAUCUCGAAGCCAGAUCUCUCUGACCUGGAACAGAUCUUCAUAGACUACAUGCCUAAUAAAAGAUAACAGUUAUUAUUGUUUUAUAUUUGUUUGGAGUAGUCAUUCAAUUAUUACAUUACACUUGAACACCCUUAUCAAAUAGCAUAUCGGGGAGAAUAUCAUUUACCCACACUAAUUUAAUUAUUCUCUGCAAUUUUUUUUAAAGAAAAUGAUUUUGCAUGAUUUUUCUCCUCUGAUAUUAUUUCUUACCCCAUAUUGUCUUUUUAAGUCAAAGUAAAAAAAAAAAAAAAAAACCAAAACAGCAGACCUGUUUUAAGUACAAUGUAAGUCUAGCCUUAGGAGAAAGUAGAAAAAAGCAGCGCUGACCUAAAUACCAUAGGCUGAAUCAUUCAGGAUCUUUAAGUGACAGCUUUGUUGGAGGUGGGAACUCAGGCUUGACUUGGGCACCUAAUGCUUUUUUGCAGCUUUUCUGUGAUUUAGGAGUGGCUUCCUAGAGUUGAGUGUUAAUAGAGCUUUGUUCAUUUUGAUUUGCAGGAGGGAACGGAUUUCUAUUCCAAAAAUACAGAGGCGUGAGCCUCAAGUCUGCAUCUUCUAAAACAAGCCAUUAAAGCAAACAAAGAAGUUGAUGUUCUAUAAGAUAUAUUUAAUCAGAUGGCUGCUGCCUGCACAUCCACAGAGCAACUCACGUUCAAAUGAAUUUCCGAAUAAGAUAAUGACAGGUCCGGUUUCCCAGCUGCACUGACAUAGACGGCUGUAGUCCUCUGGAUGGUGUACAUUUGGGAAGAUGCAUUGAGUCAAGGGCUGAAAACAUUUGAUAUGGUCUUCGUUUAAAAGGUGUUAGACAAUGCAUCAGAAUUUUUUAUUAGAAUGC